GCGCGAAAACUUUACAAUGCUGGCAACAGCGAUAAGGGAACCUCGAGUGCCAGGUUACAAAUCUGGCUGUCGAGAUGCCUAAAAAGCAUUCAUAGCAAGGGCCGGGCAAGACCGGUGCCAGCCGCCGCGGUAACACCGGCGGCUCGAGUGGUAACCGUUAUUAUUGGGUCUAAAGGGUCUGUAGCCGGCCGGAUAAGUCUCUUGAGAAAUCUGGCAGCUUAACUGUCAGGCUUUCAGGAGAUACUGUCUGGCUCGAGGCCGGGAGAGGUGAGAGGUACUUCAGGGGUAGGGGUGAAAUCUUGUAAUCCUUGAGGGACCACCAGUGGCGAAGGCGUCUCACCAGAACGGACCUGACGGCAAGGGACGAAAGCUAGGGGCACGAACC
rnacentral:rRNA from 1 species